CCCCCUCCUCGCUGCCCCAGGAACUCCCCCUCCCCCACCUACCCUGCGUGCCCAGGAAGUCCCCUCGACCCGACCCGGGAGCUCCGCCCCCAGCCCCGGGAGCCGCCCGCCCCCCUCGGGUCCCGGGAACUGUUCCUCGCGCCUCCUCGGAGCCCCUCGGAUUCGAGAGCUCCGCCUGCCCUCCCUCGCGGCUCCGGGAAGCCCGGGCCGGAGAACUCUUUCCCACUUCGCCGCGAAGACUUUCGUCUUUCUCCACGGCCUGAAAACUCUGCCACCCUAGUGAGUCCCUAGUGAGUCCCCGCUGGCCUGGGAGCCCCCUCCCACCCCGGGCCACGGGAGCCUACGUCGCGUGACCUUCCCCUCCCCCCACCUCGCGCAGCCCGGGAAGCCUCUCCCUCCCCCAACCCGUAGUUCGCCCCGCCCCGGAAGCUCCCGCUGACCCCGCCCAGGCCCGUGGAUGGGGCGCCCUGUCGUCGGGCCUUCCUGUAGGGCUUUCACCCAAGGCUGUCGGAUCGGCGGUUGGAGGCCGAGCGAACCCCUUCACGUCCCAGUCCCCCCGCCAGGAGCCUAGCGUCCGGGACUGAUACCGCGCUUCCCGCCGAAAUCGCUCAGACGCGCCCCUGGCGGCCCGCGGCCGCGAGCUUGAGAGCGCACUUUGAAGCCUGGACGAUUCAUUACCUACCUGGAGUGUCUUCGACUGUGGGCAUCCCCCGGUGUUCUUUAAGCCACACAAAGCUGCACCCAAGCUUGUUUGACGUCUGCUCUGUCGAGUGUCCAUGAUGUUGGGCCCUGAGGGAGGUGAAGGCUUUGUGGUCAAGCUCCGUGGCCUGCCCUGGUCCUGCUCUGUUGAGGAUGUGCAGAAUUUCCUCUCCGACUGCACGAUCCAUGACGGGGUCGCAGGUGUUCAUUUUAUCUACACUAGAGAAGGCAGGCAGAGUGGUGAGGCUUUUGUUGAACUUGAAUCAGAAGAUGAUGUAAAAUUGGCCCUUAAAAAAGACAGGGAAAGCAUGGGACAUCGGUACAUUGAAGUGUUCAAGUCCCACAGAACCGAGAUGGAUUGGGUGUUGAAGCACAGUGGUCCAAACAGUGCUGACACUGCCAACGAUGGUUUCGUGCGACUUCGAGGACUCCCGUUUGGAUGCACCAAGGAAGAGAUCAUUCAGUUCUUCUCAGGGUUGGAAAUCGUGCCAAACGGGAUCACAUUGCCUGUGGACCCCGAGGGCAAGAUUACAGGGGAAGCCUUUGUGCAGUUUGCCUCACAGGAGUUAGCAGAGAAGGCUCUAGGGAAGCACAAGGAGAGAAUAGGGCACAGGUAUAUUGAGGUGUUCAAGAGCAGUCAGGAAGAAGUUAGGUCAUACUCGGAUCCCCCACUGAAGUUCAUGUCAGUGCAGCGGCCAGGGCCCUAUGACCGCCCUGGCACAGCCAGGAGGUAUAUUGGCAUCGUCAAGCAGGCAGGCCUGGAGAGGAUGAGGUCUGGUGCCUACAGUGCAGGCUAUGGGGGUUAUGAGGAGUACAGCGGCCUCAGUGAUGGCUAUGGCUUCACCACCGACCUGUUUGGGAGAGACCUCAGUUACUGUCUCUCUGGAAUGUACGACCACCGGUAUGGAGAUGGCGAGUUCACUGUCCAGAGCACCACUGGACACUGCGUCCACAUGAGAGGUCUGCCCUACAAAGCCACAGAGAACGACAUUUACAACUUCUUCUCCCCCCUCAACCCUGUGAGAGUCCACAUUGAGAUUGGCCCUGAUGGAAGAGUGACCGGCGAAGCUGAUGUUGAAUUUGCCACUCAUGAAGAAGCCGUGGCGGCCAUGUCCAAAGACAGGGCCAACAUGCAACAUCGAUACAUAGAACUUUUCUUGAAUUCCACAACAGGGGCCAGCAACGGGGCAUAUAGCAGCCAGAUGAUGCAAGGCAUGGGGGUGUCAACCCAGUCCACUUACAGUGGCCUUGAGAGCCAGUCUGUGAGCGGCUGUUAUGGGGCUGGCUAUGGUGGCCAGAAUAGCAUGGGUGGAUAUGACUAGUUUUGUUAGUAGCUUUUGAGUUAUUUCAGUCAAAUUUUCACAGGCAGCCAACAAGCAGUGAAAAGCAGUUAUUACUCUAGAGGAAGCUAUGGGACCCAUUUUGCACCAUGAGUUUGUGAAAUCUGGAUUAAAAAAUUACCUCUUCAGUGUUUUCUCAUGCAAACUUUCUUCUAGCAUGUGAUAUUGAGUAAACUAAAACUAUUUUCAGCUUUUCUCAAUUAACAUUUUGGUAGUGUACUUCUGGAGUGAUGUUAUCUGAGUUUAAAGUAGAUUUAAGUAUGUUAAAUGUGGAUCUUUUACACCACAUCAUCGUGAACACAUUGGGGAGGCGUGCUUUUUUGGAAAACUCAAGGUGCUAGAUCCCUAAUUCAAAGAGGACAUUUCUCAUGUUUGUUCAUUCUAGUUUAUUUUCAUUUAAAAUCUCUUAGGUUAAGUUUAAGCUUUUUAAAAGUUAGUUUUGAAAAUUGAGACACAUUACUAAUACUGUAGGAAUUGGUGAGGCCUUGACUUAAAAACUUUCUUUGUACUGUGAUUUCCUUUCGGGUGUAUUUUGCUAAGUGAAACUUGUUAAAUUUUUUUGUUAACUAAAUUUUUUUCUUAAAAUAAAAAGACUUUUUCACAAUGA